rnacentral:rRNA from 1 species
GCCCUAGCAGUAAAUUAUGCAGACUGUGGUGUUGCCGUGGCUUCGGGCCACGGCAGUGCUGUAGCGUAGGUGUUAAGUCUGCCACCUGGGGAGUACGGCCGCAAGGUUGAAACUUAAAGGAAUUGGCGGGGGAGCACCACAAGGGGUGGAUGCUGCGGUUCAAUUGGAUACAACGCCAGGAAUAUUACCGGGGAAGACGGCAGGUUGAUGGCCAGACUAAAGAUCUUGCCUGACGAGCCGAGAGGUGCUGCAUGGCCAUCGU